UACGUACCGUCCAAACGUUAUUCGGAAUUACUGGGCUUAAAGGGUUUGUAGGCGGCGCUGUUAGUCGGGUGUGAAAUCCCACGGCUCAACCGUGGAACUGCGCCCGAUACUGCAGUGCUUGAGGGAGACAGAGGUAAGCGGAACUGAUGGUGGAGCGGUGAAAUGCGUUGAUAUCAUCAGGAACACCGGUGGCGAAAGCGGCUUACUGGGUCUCUUCUGACGCUGAGAAACGAAAGCUAAGGGUAGCGAAGGGGGAUUAAGAAACCCCAGAUACGUCCGAAC
rnacentral:rRNA from 1 species